rnacentral:rRNA from 1 species
GAUGAACGCUGGCGGCGUGCCUAAUACAUGCAAGUCGAGCGAACGGACGAGAAGCUUGCUUCUCUGAUGUUAGCGGCGGACGGGUGAGUAACACGUGGAUAACCUACCUAUAAGACUGGGAUAACUUCGGGAAACCGGAGCUAAUACCGGAUAAUAUUUUGAACCGCAUGGUUCAAAAGUGAAAGACGGUCUUGCUGUCACUUAUAGAUGGAUCCGCGCUGCAUUAGCUAGUUGGUGAGGUAACGGCUUACCAAGGCAACGAUGCAUAGCCGACCUGAGAGGGUGAUCGGCCACACUGGAACUGAGACACGGUCCAGACUCCUACGGGAGGCAGCAGUAGGGAAACUUCCGCAAUGGGCGAAAGCCUGACGGAGCAACGCCGCGUGAGUGAUGAAGGUCUUCGGAUCGUAAAACUCUGUUAUUAGGGAAGAACAUAUGUGUAAGUAACUGUGCACAUCUUGACGGUACCUAAUCAGAAAGCCACGGCUAACUACGUG